rnacentral:snoRNA from 1 species
GUACAUAUACUUCACAGGAUCAUUUCUGUAGUCAGUCUGCGAUUACUUUCACGUACAUAUUGCACAAGACGUCUGUGGGGAAUGAAAAGAGAUAGA